UACGAAGGGGGCUAGCGUUGCUCGGAAUCACUGGGCGUAAAGCGCACGUAGGCGGCUUUUUAAGUCAGGGGUGAAAUCCUGGAGCUCAACUCCAGAACUGCCUUUGAUACUGGGAAGCUUGAGUCCGGAAGAGGUGAGUGGAACUCCGAGUGUAGAGGUGAAAUUCGUAGAUAUUCGCAAGAACACCAGUGGCGAAGGCGGCUUACUGGUCCGGUUCUGACGCUGAGGCGCGAAAGCGUGGGGAGCAAACAGG
rnacentral:rRNA from 1 species